rnacentral:rRNA from 1 species
UACGUAGGGCGCAAGCGUUGUCCGGAAUUAUUGGGCGUAAAGAGCUCGUAGGCGGUCUGUUACGUCCGCUGUGAAAACCCAGGGCUUAACCCUGGGCUUGCAGUGGAUACGGGUAGACUAGAGGCAGGUAGGGGAGAAUGGAAUUCCCGGUGUAGCGGUGAAAUGCGCAGAUAUCGGGAGGAACACCGGUGGCGAAGGCGGUUCUCUGAGCCUGACCUGACGCUGAGGAGCGAAAGCGUGGGGAGCGAACAGG